AGAAGAAGCCUGAAGGAGGAGAGAUUACUAGAAACAAAAUCUGUUUACUAUUUUAUCUGUGGAUUAGCUGUCGGAGAAGAGGAGCUUGUGAAAUUCAGAUAAAAUAACAACCCAAUGUGUAUAUCCCAUGACAAAUUAGCUAACAACAGCAAGAUACCUGGCUAAAUUGGCAUACAUUUUUAAUGCUUUUCGACCUGUCCUCAAAUUAUGUAGUUGGUUCAGAGUUUAGAUUUUUCAACCUGCGUGUCCUGAUCGCGUCUGGUGUGGGUGAACAAAAUCAACACACGCGAGUGGUGUGUUAGCAUGUCCUGGCCUGGUGUUCAUAGUGUACUCCCAGGCAGUGUCCCUGCUCCCCUGCCCUCAGUUCUGGGCUGUGUGUUUCUUCACCAUGAUCAUCCUGUUAGGAUUGGACAGCCAGCGCCUCGAGGUGAACUGUUGGCCAGCAGAUGACCUUCCCAUGAUGAAGCAGGAUAUGGCAGAGGACUCAAGCCCUAGGACCAUGCCUCAGGACUACCUGGCCUGAUGACUCCUUGCUGUCCCCAGUCCACCUGGUCCUGCUGCUGCUCCAGUUUCAAUUGUUCUGCCUGUGGCUAUGGAACACUAACCUGUUCACCGGACGUGCUACCUUGUCCCAAAACUGCUGUUUUGGACUCUCUCUCUACCGUACCUGCUGUCUCUAACUCUGAAUGAUCGGCUAUGAAAAGCCAACUGACAUUUACUCCUGAGGUGCUGACCUAUAAUCUCCACCCAGCACAGCCAGAAGAGGACUGGCCACCCCUCAGAGCCUGGUUCCUUUCUAGGUUUCUUC
rnacentral:lncRNA from 1 species